CCUACCUCAUAGCGGAGGAUAACUUCGGGAAACCGUAGCUAAUACCGGAUAAUAUUUUGAACCGCAUGGUUCAAAAGUGAAAGACGGUCUUGCUGUCACUUAUAGAUGGAUCCGCGCUGCAUUAGCUAGUUGGUAAGGUAACGGCUUACCAAGGCAACGAUGCCAUAGCCGACCUGAGAGGGUGAUCGGCCACACUGGAACUGAGACACGGUCCAGACUCCUACGGGAGGCAGCAGUAGGGAAUCUUCCGCAAUGGGCGAAAGCACUGACGGAGCAACGCCGCGUGAGUGAUGAAGGUCUUCGGAUCGUAAAACUCUGUUAUUAGGGAAGAACAUAUGUGUAAGUAACUGUGCACAUCUUGACGGUACCUAAUCAGAAAGCCACGGCUAACUACGUGCCAGCAGCCGCGGUAAUACGUAGGUGGCAAGCGUUAUCCGGAAUUAUUGGGCGUAAAGCGCGCGUAGGCGGUUUUUUAAGUCUGAUAUGAAAGCCCACGGCUCAACCGUGGAGGGUCAUUGGAAACUGGAAAACUUGAGUGCAGAAGAGGAAAGUGGAAUUCCAUGUGUAGCGGUGAAAUGCGCAGAGAUAUGGAGGAACACCGGUGGCGAAGGCGACUUUCUGGUCUGUAA
rnacentral:rRNA from 1 species